UGAGCCAGUAUGAAUUAUCAUUAA
rnacentral:piRNA from 1 species